AACGAACGCUGGCGGCAGGCCUAACACAUGCAAGUCGAACGCUCUAGCAAUAGGGAGUGGCAGACGGGUGAGUAACGCGUGGGAACGUGCCUUUCGGAUCGGAAUCACUCAGGUAAACUUGAGCUAAUACCGGAUACGCCCUACGGUGGAAAGAUUUAUUGCCGAAAGAUCGGCACGCGUCCGAUUAGCGAGUUGGUGAGGUAAUGGCGGACCAGGGCGACGAUAGGAAGCUGGUCUGAGAGGAUGAGCAGCAACACUGGGACUGAGACACGGCGCAGACGCCGACGAGAGGCAGCAGUGGGGAAAAGUGGACAAUGGGCGCAAGGCUGGUCCAGCCAUGGCGCGAGGGUGAUGAAGGCGCUAGGGUUGUAAAGCGAUUUCGCCAGGGAGGAGAAUGACGGUACCUGGGUAAGAAGACCCGGCUAACUUCGUGCCAGCAGCCGCCGCCG
rnacentral:rRNA from 1 species